ACGAAUGGUCAUCCUUGAUCUUCAACCCUCAAACCACCGUGGACGACAGACGUGCUUCGGCGUCGAGAGGCGCCGCCUUUAUGCAUCGAGUCUUUGCUUUGUCUGUCUUAAGGAAAAUGUCA
rnacentral:misc_RNA from 1 species